rnacentral:rRNA from 1 species
CUACCCUUGACAUGUACGGAAGCCUAGCGAGAGCUAGGUGUGCCCGAAAGGGAGCCGUAACACAGGUGCUGCAUGGCUGUCGUCAGCUCGUGUCGUGAGAUGUUGGGUUAAGUCCCGCAACGAGCGCAACCCUUGUCCUUAGUUGCUACAGGUUGAGCUGAGCACUCUAAGGAGACUGCUGGUGAUAAACCGGAGGAAGGUGGGGAUGACGUCAAGUCCUCAUGGCCCUUAUGGGUAGGGCUACACACGUGCUACAAUGGGCAGUACAGAGGGAAGCGAAGUGGUGACACGGAGCGGAUCUCAAAAAGCUGUUCGUAGUCCGGAUUGGAGUCUGCAACUCGAGCACAUGAAGUUGGAAUCGCUAGUAAUCGCAGAUCAGCACGCUGCGGUGAAUA